UGAUGGUGGGCCCUGAAAUGUGGCUAAAGAGCCUGGGCCUGGGUCUCAGAGGGCCUGGACUUUACUUUCAGCUCCCCCACUGGGAUGCUGUGUGAUCUUGGGAACCAGUUUGGACCAGAGCACUGAACUACCGUUAUCACAGUCAUCAAAAUACUAUCUUUCGAAUUGGCACUAGGAGGCAUGCUGUCCAUGUAGACCUCGGGACACCAGGCAUACACUGUUCACAUGCGCCUCGGCCCCUGAUUGGGCCCGGCACCUGAUCCGGCAGAGACCUUGGGGCAAGCUGAAAGGAGUUCGGGGAAGAGCCUAGCACAGAGAUAAAGGUUACAAUUCCCUCGCAUCUACGCCUCUCCCCACAAGAAUCCCCAACAGCUUCUGCGAUCAUGAAGGGACCUUGUGCAAGGAUUGGACAGACGUACUUAAGUGGAUGGAUGUACUAAAGAUUCUUCGGAAAAGAGAUAUUUGCGAGCUCGUGACAUUUGUAAGUAUGAAAACACGCUUUUAGGGUCUAUCUACCCCAUUUCCUGGGGAAUUUAAGGUACUAUUUAAAGCGCCAGCGGGUUGAGCGGGUAAGCGUCAUCCUCCCUUUAUUUGGGGUAGGAUUCUCUCUGUGCUGUUCCCACAGAGAGGGGAUCCUCUGCGCCGUUCCUGCAGAGAGGGGACUUUUCUGAUUAGGAGAAGGGGAUCACUCUAGGAGUCAUCCUAGAGAGCUCUGGGAGACUCCCAGAUGGCUUUCCUGGUUGGGGAAAAGACUUCCCGGUACAGGGAAGGAUGGGGUCAUGUAAUUUGAAACAUGACUCCUGUUUUACAAAAGUCCUCCCAUCUUGAGAUCAAGGCCGCCUUCACAUAAAAAAAAAAGGGGGAUGACCAAAAAAAAAGAUCCCAGCAAUCAUUAUGGUUUUCACCUUACCUAUUGGAACCCUUCGUCUGUAUUCCAUUACCCUAUUUAUUCAUUACCCUAUUUAUUCAUUACCCUAUUUAUUUUGUUAAUG